rnacentral:lncRNA from 1 species
UUAUGAUCUCCUCUUCCGUAACUGGCCUUGUAAGAUCUCCAUUGAUUUCCUAUGUAACUGUUCUGGGGAUUCCAUCAAGAAGUUUUUGACUGAUGUUAGCACCAUCGCUUUUAUAUAAUGACUGGAAAUAGCUGAUUAUUUGAGACUGGAUAUCCUUUGCUUUAGCCAGUAUCUUCCCUUGAUCGUUUUGGAUUUUGAUGAUCAUGUUGAAUCCGCUUAUUUGUUUGUUUUCGCAUGAAAAUAUAUGGUAUUUCUAUCACUUGCUUUGAGCCAGAGGACUCGAAUUUUGUUUCUCCAAUAUUCUUCUUCCAGCAUGUAUUGAAAUUGAAGCUCUGUUUUUUUAAAUCUCUAGACAGUUGUAAUCUAUAUAUGGCUCAUCAUAGGCUUUCUGAAUUUCUUCCUUCAAUUGUUGGAUGAGUUUACCUGAGUUGACAUUCUGUUUGCUUCUCUACCGAGAUAUGGCUUUGCGACAUUUGAUGAUGAUCUGAUGGAGCUCACUUGAAGAUAGGUCCGAGCAAUCUUGAUUCCAGGCCUGGAUGACAACUUGCUUCAAUUCAGGAUACAUUCUC